rnacentral:rRNA from 1 species
UACGGAGGGUGCAAGCGUUAAUCGGAUUUAUUGGGCGUAAAGGGCGCGUAGGCGGGGAGGAAAGUUAGUUGUGAAAGCCUGAGGCUCAACCUCAGACCCGCAUCUAAAACUUCCUCUCUAGAGGGUGAGCGGAGAAAAUGGAAUUCCACGUGUAGCGGUGAAAUGCGUAGAUAUGUGGAAGAACACCGGUGGCGAAAGCGAUUUUCUAGCUUAUUCCUGACGCUGAGGCGCGAAAGCAAGGGGAGCAAAC